UACAGAGGUCUCAAGCGUUGUUCGGAUUCAUUGGGCGUAAAGGGCGCGUAGGCGGCCUUCUAAGUCAGACGUGAAAUCCCCCGGCUUAACCUGGGAACUGCGUCUGAUACUGGAGGGCUUGAGUGCGGGAGAGGGAUGUGGAAUUCCAGGUGUAGCGGUGAAAUGCGCAGAUAUCAGGAGGAACACCGGUGGCGAAGGCGGGUCUCUGGGCCGAUACUGACGCUGAGGAGCGAAAGCGUGGGGAGCGAACAGG
rnacentral:rRNA from 1 species